ACGACUCUCGGCAACGGAUAUCUCGGCUCUCGCAUCGAUGAAGAACGCAGCGAAAUGCGAUACUUGGUGUGAAUUGCAGAAUCCCGCGAACCAUCGAGUUUUUGAACGCAAGUUGCGCCCAAAGCCAUUCGGCCGAGGGCACGUCUGCCUGGGUGUCACGCAACGU
rnacentral:rRNA from 1 species